rnacentral:rRNA from 1 species
GACGAACGCUGGCGGCGUGCUUAACACAUGCAAGUCGAACGGUGAAGCCCUUCGGGGUGGAUCAGUGGCGAACGGGCGAGUAACACGUGAGCAACCUGCCCCUGGCUCUGGGACAACCACUGGAAACGGUGGCUAAUACCGGAUACGACGCGCCUCGGCUUCGAGUGUGGGUGGAAAGUUUUUCGGCUGGGGAUGGGCUCGCGGCCUAUCAGCUUGUUGGUGAGGUGAAGGCUCACCAAGGCGACGACGGGUAGCCGGCCUGAGAGGGCGACCGGCGACACUGGGACUGAGACACGGCCCAGACUCCUACGGGAGGCAGCAGUGGGGAAUAUUGCACAAUGGGCGAAAGCCUGAUGCAGCGACGCUGGGUGAGGGAUGACGGCCUUCGGGUUGUAAACCUCUUUCAGCUCCGAAGAAGCGAAAGUGACGGUAGGAGCAGAAGAAGCACCGGCUAACUACGUG